GGGAGGAAAGUAUGAAAUUGCAUGGUAUUUCCAAUCGCCACUGUAUGCUUGUAUCUUCAUUAUCAUGUUGUAGCAGGUUUCCACUGUCUUUGAUGACAUGAGAUAACAAAGACUAGAAGGAAUGCAAUUUGGGUGUCUCUGGUUGUAAGUUGGAGUGUUUAUUUUAUUUAUUGAUGUGGUUUAUUUAUUUACUUAUUUAUUUUUGUAAACCAUGAAUGGAGAUUGUUACCGAGGGAUAGAUGUGCAAGUAGGGAGCUCCACUGUUUUAGGGUUUUGAGGUGAGGUGAGUGCGGCACUGACUGUGAAGGUAGUCUACUGCGGAAAACAAUCAAAUGGUAUGUGAGUGCAAUACAGGAAAUGGUUUGG
rnacentral:lncRNA from 1 species